CCAUCAAGAUCUCCAUCUCUUCAUCGAUACUGCCAUCCUGUAUGCUGUGAAGUUCUAGAUAUAGCAUUAUCUUCUGUAGACGGGCCUUGCAAUUGUCGAAGCUCUAGAUGAAGAUGGCGGCGGUGACAUCAAGCAUUUUCCUCCUGAAUGCCGUAGAAUUUUGGAGUUCCACAAUACAGCACUCCUGAACUGCAGGCGGGAUGUGCUUAAGCGGAGGAAAUGGUGAUGGUGAUGCCGGCGUCAUCCUUGAAGCGGUAGCUCUAGAAGAAGGGGGAACCCCACGAGAAGAGGAUGCACUGGUCUGCCUAACUCUCUUCCUUUCAUAAGCUAAAUGCCUCUG
rnacentral:lncRNA from 1 species